rnacentral:lncRNA from 1 species
AUGGAAGGCCCUCCUACAUCCCUCACCAGUGAUUGGCCUUCUGAUGUUAUGGAAGGCCCUCCUACAUCCCUCCCCAGUGAUUGGCCAUCUGAUGUUAUGGAAGGCCCUCCUACAUCCCUCACCAGUGAUUGGCCUUCUGAUGUUAUGGAAGGCCCUCCUACAUCCCUCCCCAGUGAUUGGCCAUCUGAUGUUAUGGAAGGCCCUCCUACAUCCCUCCCCAGUGAUUGGCCUUCUGAUGUUAUGGAAGGCCCUCCUACAUCCCUCCCCAGUGAUUGGCCAUCUGAUGUUAUGGAAGGCCCUCCUACAUCCCUCCCCAGUGAUUGGCCAUCUGAUGUUAUGGAAGGCCCUCCUUCUUCCCGCCCCAGUGAUUGGCCAUCUGAUGUUAUGGAAGGCCCUCCUUCUUCCCGCCCCAGUUAUUGGCCAUCUGAUGUUAUGGAAGGCCCUCCUUCUUCCCGCCCCAGUGAUUGGCCUUCUGAUGUUAUGGAAGGCCCUCCUUCUUCCCGCCCCAGUGAUUGGCCAUCUGAUGUUAUGGAAGGCCCCCCUUUUCCCUCCCCAGUGAUUGGCCAUCUGAUGUUAUGGAAGGCCCUCCUUCUUCCCGCCCCAGUGAUUGGCCUUCUGAUGUUAUGGAAGGCCCUCCUUCUUCCCGCCCCAGUGAUUGGCCAUCUGAUGUUAUGGAAGGCCCUCCUACAUCCCUCCCCAGUGAUUGGCCAUCUGAUGUUAUGGAAGGCCCUCCUACAUCCCUCCCCAGUGAUUGGCCAUCUGAUGUUAUGGAAGGCCCUCCUACAUCCCUCCCCAGUGAUUGGCCUUCUGAUGUUAUGGAAGGCCCUCCUACAUCCCUCCCCAGUGAUUGACCUUCUGAUGUUAUGGAAGGCCCUCCUUCUUCCCGCCCCAGUGAUUGGCCAUCUGAUGUUAUGGAAGGCCCUCCUACAUCCCUCCCCAGUGAUUGACCAUCUGAUGUUAUGGAAGGCCCUCCUUCUUCCCGCCCCAGUGAUUGGCCUUCUGCGUUUGAACAGCAUUUCUUUCUCUUCUUUCCCAAUGCUCUCCUCCCCUCCUGUCUGGGCCCAGCUAAUCUCCAGAACAGGGAGGAAUCCAACUUGA